AACUAUGUGUGAUAAAGGAUUUAUUAAAGCAAAGUCUGAUAAUAUUCCUGAUGUUGAUAUAUUUAUGAUCACCGAUUUUUAAAAAAAUGACGUUUGGUUUAAUUCUGCUGAAGUUCGAGGUGCCAAGGCAUCAAGAGCAUCGCGUGAGAGUUACGGCGACAAAGCUAUAGGUUAUGUUCAACUAAGUCGUAAAAAUAAUAUUUGUAUUGUAAAAGGACGGGUAUGUCCAGAACACCGAGUUCGGAGUAAAGCUUAUUCAGUUACUUUAACUAUUAAUGAAAAUUCCAAAAAAAUUCAGGAUGUUCAAUGCCAUGACUGUGCAGCUUCAGCAGGUAAUUUAUACUCCUAUUAAAUAAAGCUUACAAUUUAUCGUUACAUCGAUUAAUUUUGGAUUUUAAUCAAAAUAUUUAUUUGCGAGUAGAGAAAUUUUUGGAAUUCGCUAAAACUGAAAUGGCAGAAGAUGUGUGUGAAGAAGCUGAACAGCUAACCAAGCAGCAAAGUGAAUGUGCAAUUUGGCAUGAACUUCGUUAUGGACGCAUUACUGCAUCAAAAUUUUAUGAAGCUGCUCAUUGUAAAAGUAAUAAUGGUUCGCUAGUUCAACAAAUCAUUGGUGCAAGUAAAGUUCUUGAGACAAGCGCUAUGACACGAGGAAAGAGUCAGAAAAAGAUGUAAUCGAAGUUCUUGAGAAAGAAUUAAGAGUAAAAAUAACGCGUCCGGGGAUGUAUCUUGUACCUAGUCAUCCGAUUUUUGCAGCAUCUCCUGAUGGAAUGACAAGCAAUGCCAUUGUUGAAAUACAAUGUCCCACCAGUCAUAAAUCAUUGGAUAUUUUUCUACCAAAAGGUAAAGUCAGUUUGAAGUGUAAUGCCCAAAUGCAACUACAAAUGUUAUUGACUGGUAAUAAAGAAGGUAUCUUUUGUGUUACUGAUCCACAUUUUGAAGAAAAUAAAACUAUUUACAUUAAAAAAUUAAAAUAUGAUUAUGCACAUACACAAGCUCUAAUUAAAAAUAGUCAAGUAUUUUGGCCCAAAAUAUAUUUCCAAAAUUAUUAAAAACUGUACAAAGUUAAUUAAUGUUAUUCAUUAGAUUUUGAUGUAUUUUUACAAUAAAUAAUAAAUAUAUUAGCUUAAAUAGAACAGACACCUAGUAAUUCAUUUUAUAAUACAAAUACUCUUAAACUUAAGUAGAAAUUAUAGGCGCUUGUAAAUUUACAAGUGCUGCAGCAAUGGCAACAAUAUUAUCUGUGAAAGGUAACAUAUUAUGAUUAACAACCGCAUGAGGUUUUAGAAAAUCAAGCUCUCUUAUUCUUCCAAUAACGCGUUCUAUAUGAAUACGUAGAGCAGCGAUUCGUUUGCCUUGUAACACGUCAGAUUGUGAUAAUUUUACUCCAGAAUUAACUGAAGGUGGUCGAUUUAAUUCAAUAUUUUUAUCGUCAAGAAGUUGAACAAUGUUUUUGAAUCCUCGAUCGGCCAUGACAGCACAAGCCUCGGGUAGCUCUUCCAAUAAUCCGCUUUCUUGGAAUAAUAGUUCAUCUGAAAUUCGACCUCCAAAUCCUUUUGAUAUGAAGUUUAUAAAGCCAUCUGGUGUACAAGAUAUUAAAUAUUUUAAAGUAUUACAUUUUUUAUACUCUGACCAAGUUAAAGAUUGGGUCUCUGGAUCACUUGGUUUUUCAAUUUGUAUCUCAAAUGCAUCAAUAAUAGCAAUCACAUGAUUAUAUGAAGUUCUAAAUGGUAUCGGUAGUAUUUUUUUAUAUUACUAGACUUCGGCAUAUAAACGAGUUUUUUUAAUAAAUGUGCCAAUACAGGAACUGUUUUAUUAAAAAUAAUACUAGCAUUGCUGAUACUCAUUCCAAACUGUUCACUUAAUCUUUCCAAAGUAUCUUGGCGUCGUAUUUUCAUCAAAGAUAAUUUUAUAUUGGUAAUAUCAAUAUUAGAUAUUACACUAAUACGUUCUAGCACCACAUUCCAUUCUUGAGGAACAUCAGUAUACGCUUUUAAAUUAUCGUUAAUUAAGUAAUUUGUGACUUUCAAAAUUUAAAAUUUUUUCACAGGAGAUUGAAGGCUGCUAGAAUCCAUAGUACUUGAACCGGUAUUUUCGGAAGGUUCAUAAAUAUCUUGUGAACUAUUUGAAUUUGUAAAACUACUAGAUGACAAACUUUUCUGAGUAUCUUCCAAUAAAUUUGGAUGCAAUUUUCGACGCAACGGUUUUAUUGGAGAUGUUGCAGUACUUAUGCUACCAGUUUUAAUUGGUGAGCAGGAUUCAUCGAUUCCGAUUUAUAAAAUUUUACAUUGAACUGAUACGCUACGAUACUUAAGACGACUAUUUACUUGUACAGCAACAGUACGGUGGUUAAUAUUAGUUUGUGUUUCAACAGUGACCUUUUGGUCAGGUGUUUCAUUUGAAGGAGCAAAAUCUACUCCAAUAUUUUCAACAGUACUGGCUGAUACGGCAUCAAUGUUUGGUUCUGGAGGAUUACCAAUUUCCAUAUUUUCUGAAGAUUCAUUUAAAAUUUCUUGAAUUAUUUGUUGUCUCCGUCGUUUUUCUGCAGCUGGUCUAAGAACCGUUGUAGUGCCUUGUCUUUUACGAUUAGGUUGACAGUCAAACUUGUGCGGUACCACAUCAAUUUUAAUCUUUGCUUUACCUCCCAUCGUUGUAUAAUAAAUGUAAUUUUCCAUGUCAUCUUUCAGCUAGAAAAAAAAAACAGAAAUCAUAAG